GUCCCAGACUCCUACGGGAGGCAGCAGUGGGGAAUAUUGCACAAUGGGGGAAACCCUGAUGCAGCGACGCCGCGUGAGCGAUGAAGUCUUUCGGUAUGUAAAGCUCUAUCAGCAGGGAAGAAGAUGACGGUACCUGACUAAGAAGCCCCGGCUAACUACGUGCCAGCAGCCGCGGUAAUACGUAGGGGGCAAGCGUUAUCCGGAUUUACUGGGUGUAAAGGGAGCGUAGACGGCGAUGCAAGCCAGAUGUGAAAGCCCGGGGCUCAACCCCGGGACUGCAUUUGGAACUGUGUGGCUGGAGUGUCGGAGAGGCAGGCGGAAUUCCUAGUGUAGCGGUGAAAUGCGUAGAUAUUAGGAGGAACACCGGUGGCGAAGGCGGCUUACUGGACUGUAACUGACGUUGAGGCUCGAAAGCGUGGGGAGCAAACAGGAUUAGAUACCCCUGUAU
rnacentral:rRNA from 1 species